AUGUCCCCAACAGUGGACCAGUCCCAGAGGAGCCAGACUGCUCCUCCCCAGACAGCCCCCAAGAUCCAGGAGGUCUCUAAGGGGAAGGAUCCCGUCAGCCAGCCCCAGAGGAAGCUCUCUCGGCGGAGGGAGCUGAGAAUCCUGGAGUCCUUUGAGAAGGAGGAAGAGAGGGAGGAGAGAGAAGAGCUGUCCUUGGUGCUGACUGAGCUGGGGGUGAUGGUGAUGUCACCCUCGGAGGCUCAGAAGCUCAGCAAGACCUGGGGAGAGGCUCUACAGACACUCACCAUCCCACCUCAGCCUUCAGAGGGAAGCACUGAAACCCGUCUGUGUGGGGCUCCACUACUGGUAUUCUUCAGGGAGAUUGUGACGGUCAGAGAGGCCUACAGGAAGCUGCAGUUACUGCUGGGCAGCGAGGAGGACACAAGGUCAUCCAAUGUGGUCCCCAAGCCUAGAGCAGGAUCUUCUUACAGCAGCCUGAGCAGCAGCCCCAGUACCCUGGGCUCCAGGAUAACUCUCUCCCCUGAGCAGCAGGACUCUCUGAGAGAGGUUCUGAGGAGAGGAGUGGAGACAGGGGCCAGGAACCUGACACUCCCUCACAGCAAUGGAAUAAAGUGCAUUCUUGCCACCCUUCCGGAGCCCAAUCAGGACUCUGCAGAAGCAGCAGUGAAACCCAAUGGGUCUGCAGGGUGUGAGGAGAGCCAGGCCAGGGAAGAACAGGGACCGAACCCCUGGAAGCAGGGAGAGGACAUUAGGAGCAGCACCUACAGGAGGCUGGACAGCCUGGAUGAAACCAUCCGCGAGCUGGAGAACACCCUGCUGGAGCUCAGUGGCCACCCCACCACAGUGCACCUCUCCCCCCCCACACCCCCCACUGACACUGCCUUGUCAGAGGCUCCAGACCCAGCCCAGAUGCCUGGCACCAGCACCCCAGAGACCAAGAAGCCCCCAGUCCCACCCAAGCCCAAACCCUCCUACACUCCUGCCACGUUGACCAAGGUCUAUAACGUGCACCCCUGCAUAGACUCUGCUCUUUAG
ensembl:lncRNA